CCUACGGGAGGCAGCAGUGAGGAAUAUUGGACAAUGGAGGAGACUCUGAUCCAGCCAUGCCGCGUGCAGGAUGACAGCCCUAUGGGUUGUAAACUGCUUUUGUACGGGAAGAAACGCAUCUACGUGUAGGUGUUUGACGGUACCGUAAGAAUAAGGACCGGCUAACUCCGUG
rnacentral:rRNA from 1 species